rnacentral:rRNA from 1 species
CGGCCGGUCUAAGUUCCUUGGAACAGGACGUCAUAGAGGGUGAGAAUCCCGUAUGCGACCGGUUGGCACCCGUCACGUAGCUCCUUCGACGAGUCGAGUUGUUUGGGAAUGCAGCUCUAAAUGGGAGGUAAAUGCCUUCUAAAGCUAAAUAGCGGCCAGAGACCGAUAGCGCACAAGUAGAGUGAUCGAAAGAUGAAAAGCACUUUGGAAAGAGAGUUAAAAAGCACGUGAAAUUGUUGAAAGGGAAGCGCAUGCAACCAGACUUGUCGGCGGUGUUCCGCCGGUCUUCUGACCGGUCUACUCGCCGUCGGCAGGCCAGCAUCACUUGGGAGCGCCGGAUAAAGGCGCGGGGAAUGUGGCUCCUCGGAGUGUUAUAGCCCCGCGUGCAAUACGGCGCCUCCCGAGUGAGGUCCGCGCUUCGGCUAGGAUGCUGGCGUAAUGGUUGUCUGCGGCCCGUCUUGAAACACGGACCAAGGAGUCUAACAUCUGUGCGAGUGUUCGGGUGUCAAACCCCUACGCGUAAUGAAAGUGAACGGAGGUGGGAACUUCGGUGCACCAUCGACCGAUCCUGAUGUCCUCGGAUGGAUUUGAGUAAGAGCAUAGCUGUUGGGACCCGAAAGAUGGUGAACUAUGCCUGAAUAGGGUGAAGCCAGAGGAAACUCUGGUGGAGGCUCGCAGCGGUUCUGACGUGCAAAUCGAUCGUCAAAUUUGGGUAU